GCGGCGAUAGCUCAGCGGUAGAGCUCUGGUUUUACACACCAGCGGUCGGGGGUUCGAAACCCUCUCGCCGCACAG
rnacentral:tRNA from 1 species